rfam:Afipia sp. P52-10 contig000004, whole genome shotgun sequence.
GGGAGCCCAAUCCCUCCCAGAAAGGCUGUGUUCGGCGCGAGCGCCCAUCCACCCCAAGCGCCAAUACGGCUGGCCCGUCCGGUUGUCCCCCCGGACGGGCC